UACGGGGGGGGCAAGCGUUGUUCGGAAUUACUGGGCGUAAAGGGCUCGUAGGCGGCCAACUAAGUCAGACGUGAAAUCCCCAGGCUCAACCUGGGAACUGCGUCUGAUACUGGAUGGCUUGAAUUCGGGAGAGGGAUGCAGAAUUCCAGGUGUAGCGGUGAAAUGCGCAGAUAUCAGGAAGAACACCUAUGGCGAAGGCAGCUCUCUGGGACGGUACUGACGCUGAGACGCGAAAGCGUGGGGAGCGAACAGG
rnacentral:rRNA from 1 species